AUAGUGAACUACUUUAGACCAGAGCCCUAUGGAACCCUAUUCCCUAUGUAGUGAACUACUUUAGACCAGAGCCCUACAGAACCCUAUUCCCUAUAUAGUGAACUACUUUAGACCAGGGCCCUAUGCAGGCUCUUGUCAAAAAGUAUUGCAGACCUCCCAACCUGCGUGCAGUUUGCGUAACAUAGUCCAAAGUACUCUGGUAUGAAAAACAACCUUAAAAUACAUAUGAACAGGCUUCUAGUUGGCAGAAUUAGUGUGGUUUUUUUGUUGACUCGACUGUCUGACGUUGGAGCUGAGCCAAUCAGGGGACUUGGGCGAAUAGAACAGAUUUUUAGCUUUCCCCCCUCCAGCAAGAUGGCAGCUCUCCACUUGGUCUGUUGAUAUCACUGAUGGAUGAGGGAAAAAAACGGCAUGAAAACAUUUCCCGAAAUUGUAUGGUGUUAGUCAAGCACGUAACUAUUAUUUCGUAGUUGGCUCCUUCGCUAAGGGGUCACUACGUCGAAGGUAGUUGGCUCCUUCGCUAAGGGCUCACUACGGCGAGGGUAGUUAGCUCCUUCGCUGAGGGCUCACUACGGCGAAGGUAGUUGGCUCCUUCGCUGAGGGCUCACUACGGCGAAGGUAGUUAGCUCCUUCGUUGAGGGCUCACUACGGCGAGGGUAGUUAGCUCCUUCGCUGAGGGCUCACUACGGCGAAGGUAGUUGGCUCCUUCGCUGAGGGCUCACUACGGCGAAGGUAGUUAGCUCCUUCGUUGAGGGCUCACUACGGCGAGGGUAGUUAGCUCCUUCGCUGAGGGCUCACUACGGCGAAGGUAGUUGGCUCCUUCGCUGAGGGCUCACUACGGCGAAGGUAGUUGGCUCCUUCGCUGAGGGCUCACUACGGCGAAGGUAGUUAGCUCCUUCGCUGAGGGGUCACUACGGCGAAGGUAGUUAGCUCCUUCGCUGAGGGCUCACUACGGCGAAGGUAGUUAGCUCCUUCGCUAAGGGGUCACUACGGCGAAGGUAGUUAGCUCCUUCGCUGAGGGCUCACUACGGCGAAGGUAGUUGGCUCCUUCGCUGAGGGCUCACUACGGCGAAGGUAGUUGGCUCCUUCGCUGAGGGGUCACUACGGCGAAGGUAGUUAGCUCCUUCGCUGAGGGCUCACUACGGCGAAGGUAGUUAGCUACAGCGUUUAGUCAACUAAGCGAGAACUUUCUUGCCUGGACAUUUUGAUUUCCGUCAUGGUAGUAGGUCGGGAGCGCAUUAACGAGAAAAGGGGAACGUGCGGUGUUGCUGAAGUUCAGCGCGCGUCGCUGUGUGGAUGGAAACAGACAUGGCAGAGAGCUGCUGUUUCCCCGCUGAUACCGUCCUUCGUAGAAAGUUAUGUCAGACUGUUAAACAUUAGCAGGCAUUAUGUUAACGACUACAUUGCAUCCAGUAAUUUCAUUAUUCUGAAUUUUCUCCACAAACAAAAUGAAGAAGCCCGUUUACAUUUGAGUGACUAUGGACAUAAAGACAGUUAUUUGUUAGAAUAGUCGUUACUGGGGUGGCGCAGUGUAAAUGGUCUUAAGGCUGUGCCACCAGAGAUUCUGGGUUCAAAUCCAGACUGUCACUGCCGGCUGUGACCAGGAGACCCAUGGGGCUGCGCACAAUUGGCCCAGCGUCGUCCGGGUUAGGGGAGGGGUUUGGCCGGGCAGGGAUGUCCUUGUCCCAUCGCGCUCUAGCGGCUCCUCUGGCAGACCGGGCGCAGUGCACGCUGACACGGUCGCCAGGUGUACGGCGUUUCCUCCGACACAUUGGUGCGGUUUGGCUUCCGGGUUAAGUGGGCGUUGUGCCAAGAAGCGGUGCGGCUUGGUUGUGUUUCGGAGGACGCACGGCUCUCAACCUUCGCCUCUCCCGAGUCCGUACGGGAGUUGCAGGGAUGAGACUGUAAACUACCAAACGACUGUCAUUACCCCUAAAUUGAACCUAGAAAAAUGUGUUAUUGAGACCACCACAAUUUAAUUUAAGAGCAAACACAAUACUUCUUGUUUGAUUAUAAUUUAAGACUAGGUUUCAGGAGAUGAGUUACAGGUUUUUCAAAAAAUGCUCCAAUUUCCUGAGGGGGAAGUUGACUGACCCCCCCCCCCCCCCCCCCCCCCCCCCCACCACCCCAACCUUAGUCCUACAUCAGCCCCACCUUGUCAGAAAGCCCUGAUUUUGUACAUUUUAAAUGUAUUUCUAGUUGGCUAGUGAAAGAAAAACAGCUAAUUACCAAGUACCCAUAGCUGGCUAUCGCCUACAAUUCCUCUUGAGGCAUCCAACAUCAUUGUUAGGCUAAAAUCGGAUUUGUUAGGCCUAUGAUUUGAGCAGUCUGGGUGCCGUUGGGGUCUAGUGUCGCCACAGCGCUGAAGUGGUACUCAUUUAAAAAAAAUAAUAAAAAUAUUCAGUUGUAGUGAACUAUGCGGGCCCUGGUCUAAACUAUAUAGGGACUAGGGUACUGUUUUGGACACAUCACUGUACAGUUCCUCAACCUCCUGUGUGUUGUUCUUUUUAGGUGGUGUGUCGCACACAUUAAAAGAAUAACCAUUUUGUUGUGGCAAAAUUCUUCUAUAGAAAUAGAUGGAGAAAAAAAAGCUAAACUUUUACAGUUUCGAUGUGAGAUCACAACAACAAAAAAACUAUUUUUUCAACAUAUUGCCUUUUCAACGAUCGUUCUAAAAAAAAAUUUCUAUUUUAAUAUUUUACUUGUUACAUGACAUGUACAUAUUUGUAAUAUAUAAUUGAAUAAAUUUUAUUGGUUGUGAAUUAAAA